GCCCCUGUGGCGGAAUUGGUAGACGCGGCAGACUCAAAAUCUGUUGCCCUCACGGGCGUGCUGGUUCGAUCCCGGCCAGGGGCACCA
rnacentral:tRNA from 2 species